AUAAUUCUUAAUAAUCUCCAUCUCGACUUGAUAUUCAGCCUCCACCUGACUUUGAGAGCUUCUGAAUCUCAUCCCCAUGCCUUGGGAUAAUCACCUGCUAUUCAUAGAUGGGCAAACAUGAAAGUCAAGUCAGGCUACUUGAUUCCAUCUUCGUCAUAUGCUGUACACCUCAUAGCACCUCCUGACUUGAGGUCUACUUAGGAUAGCUUUCGCACGACAUCACUCAUCCUCUCGAGCCUCUCAUCCCAUACC
rnacentral:lncRNA from 1 species